AGUGAACGCUGGCGGUAGGCCUAACACAUGUAAGUCGAACGGCAGCACAGUAAGAGCUUGCUCUUACGGGUGGCGAGUGGCGGACGGGUGAGGAAUACAUCGGAAUCUACUUUUUCGUGGGGGAUAACGUAGGGAAACUUACGCUAAUACCGCAUACGACCUACGGGUGAAAGCAGGGGAUCUUCGGACCUUGCGCGAUUGAAUGAGCCGAUGUCGGAUUAGCUAGUUGGCGGGGUAAGGGCCCACCAAGGCGACGAUCCGUAGCUGGUCUGAGAGGAUGAUCAGCCACACUGGAACUGAGACACGGUCCAGACUCCUACGGGAGGCAGCAGUGGGGAAUAUUGGACAAUGGGCGCAAGCCUGAUCCAGCCAUACCGCGUGGGUGAAGAAGGCCUUCGGGUUGGAAAGCCCUUUUGUUGGGAAAGAAAAGCAGCAGGUUAAUACCCCGCUGUUCUGACGGUACCCAAAGAAUAAGCACCGGCUAACUUCGUG
rnacentral:rRNA from 1 species